rnacentral:rRNA from 1 species
UACAGAGAGUGCGAGCGUUAAUCGGAAUUAUUGGGCGUAAAGCGCGCGUAGGUGGAUGUGUAAGUCGAUUGUGAAACUCCUGGGCUUAACCUGGGAAUUGCAUUCGAUACUGCAUGUCUAGAGUAUGGUAGAGGGAAGUGGAAUUUCCGGUGUAGCGGUGAAAUGCGUAGAUAUCGGAAAGAACACCAGUGGCGAAGGCGGCUUCCUGGACCAAUACUGACACUGAGGUGCGAAAGCGUGGGGAGCAAACAGG